UGGGUAACCUGCCUCAAAGAGGGGAAUAGCCUCCCGAAAGGGAGAUUAAUACCGCAUAAUAUGUUUAAGUCGCAUGACUUUAACAUCAAAGGAUUUUCUUUUAGAACUUCCACUUUGAGAUGGACCCGCGGCGCAUUAGCUAGUUGGUGAGGUAACGGCUCACCAAGGCAACGAUGCGUAGCCGACCUGAGAGGGUGAUCGGCCAUAUUGGAACUGAGACACGGUCCAGACUCCGUAGGGAGG
rnacentral:rRNA from 1 species